AACGAACGCUGGCGGCAUGCCUAACACAUGCAAGUCGAACGAAGGCUUCGGCCUUAGUGGCGCACGGGUGCGUAACGCGUGGGAAUCUGCCCUUUGCUUCGGAAUAACAGUUAGAAAUGACUGCUAAUACCGGAUGAUGUCUUCGGACCAAAGAUUUAUCGGCAAAGGAUGAGCCCGCGUAGGAUUAGGUAGUUGGUGGGGUAAAGGCCUACCAAGCCGACGAUCCUUAGCUGGUCUGAGAGGAUGACCAGCCACACUGGGACUGAGACACGGCCCAGACUCCUACGAGAGGCAGCAGUGGGUAAUAUUGGACAAUGGGCGAAAGCCUGAUCCAGCAAUGCCGCGUGAGUGAUGAAGGCCUUAGGGUUGUAAAGCUCUUUUACCAGGGAUGAUAAUGACAGUACCUGGAGAAUAAGCUCCGGCUAACUCCGUGCCAGCCGCCGCCGUAAAAC
rnacentral:rRNA from 1 species